rnacentral:rRNA from 1 species
GACGAAGGAUGCAAGCGUUAUCCGGAUUCAUUGGGUUUAAAGGGUGCGUAGGCGGGCCUAUAAGUCAGUGGGGAAAGCCCUCAGCUUAACUGAGGAACUGCCAUUGAUACUGUAGGUCUUGAGUACAGAUGAUGUUGGCGGAAUAUGACAUGUAGCGGUGAAAUGCAUAGAUAUGUCAUAGAACACCGAUUGCGAAGGCAGCUGACAAAACUGUAACUGACGCUGAGGCACGAAAGUGUGGGGAUCAAACAGG